rnacentral:tRNA from 1 species
UCCCGGGUGGCCUAGUGGUUAAGGAUCUGGCAUUGUCACUGCUGUGGCACAGGUUUGAUCCCUGGCCCAGGAA